rnacentral:rRNA from 1 species
UACGUAGGGUGCGAGCGUUGUCCGGAUUUAUUGGGCGUAAAGAGCUCGUAGGCGGUUUGUCGCGUCGGCCGUGAAAUCUCCACGCUUAACGUGGAGCGUGCGGUCGAUACGGGCAGACUUGAGUUCGGUAGGGGGAGACUGGAAUUCCUGGUGUAGCGGUGAAAUGCGCAGAUAUCAGGAGGAACACCGGUGGCGAAGGCGGGUCUCUGGGCCGAUACUGACGCUGAGGAGCGAAAGCGUGGGGAGCGAACAGG